rnacentral:rRNA from 1 species
ACGGGAGGCAGCAGUGGGGAAUAUUGCACAAUGGGAGAAAUCCUGAUGCAGCGACGCCGCGUGAGUGAAGAAGUAUUUCGGUAUGUAAAGCUCUAUCAGCAGGGAAGAAAAUGACGGUACCUGACUAAGAAGCCCCGGCUAACUACGUGCCAGCAGCCGCGGUAAUACGUAGGGGGCAAGCGUUAUCCGGAUUUACUGGGUGUAAAGGGAGCGUAGACGGCGAUGCAAGUCUGAUGUGAAAUGCGGGGGCUCAACCCCUGAACUGCAUUGGAAACUGUAUUGCUGGAGUGCCGGAGGGGUAAGCGGAAUUCCUAGUGUAGCGGUGAAAUGCGUAGAUAUUAGGAGGAACACCAGUGGCGAAGGCGGCUUACUGGACUGUAACUGACGUUGAGGCUCGAAAGCGUGGGGAGCAAACAGGAUUAGAUACCCUGGUA